AGAGGGUGCGAGCGUUAAUCGGAAUUACUGGGCGUAAAGCGUGCGUAGGUGGUUUAAUAAGUCAGAUGUGAAAUCCCCGGGCUCAACCUGGGAACUGCAUUUGAAACUAUUAGGCUAGAGUGUGGUAGAGGGAAGUGGAAUUUCCGGUGUAGCGGUGAAAUGCGUAGAUAUCGGAAGGAACAUCAGUGGCGAAGGCGACUUCCUGGACCAUAACUGACACUGAGGCACGAAAGCGUGGGGAGCAAACAGGAUUAGAUACCCUGGUAGUCCACGCUGUAAACGAUGAGAACUAGAUGUUAGGGAGCUUGUCUUCUUAGUAUUGUAGCUAACGCGUUAAGUUCUCCGCCUGGGGAGUACGGCC
rnacentral:rRNA from 1 species